AAAAAAUGAUGAGACCUUUAUUUUAAUAUCAAAGCCUUUCGGGUCUGAUGCAUCCGUGAUGAAUACUGUGAGACUGAUUUU
rnacentral:snoRNA from 1 species